UGAUUUGAUAGUUAAACAUGCAUGCUGUUUCCUCUCUCGUCAUAUGGUCUACUUAUGAAUUUAACACAGCUGAACCACCAAACUCUAAAACAACAAAAGAUGUUAGUCAGUCGCCAUUGCCAAUAGAUAUGUCAUAAAAGUGAUGGCUUGGUUGAUUAAUUUCUAGAUGCAAUAGAGAUGUCUACAUAAUGCAUUUUUUGUGGUAAAUUCUUCAUAUUUAAAUCACUUAUUUGUAAUAUUUCUAUGUAUACAUUAAUAGAAGACCAAUGUUCUAUUACAUGUAAAGUCAUUUAACUUUACGCUCUUAUUCGAUAUAGCUGAGAGCAGAAUAUCUAAGAAACUUCUGUAACCGUGUUGUGCAUGUCUUUUGAUAUUUAAUUUAUGUAAGGGCCUUGUAGGAAUAUUUUACUAUGUCAUUGCCAACAUUUAUGAAUUACAUAUUUAUAUAUAUAUAUUUAAAGUUCUGAAAAAUGAUUGUAUAAGGAUUACUUUCAGAUAUUUUGCAAAAUUUAUGAGUAAAAGUGAAGUUAUUUUUAAAGCAAGGCAACUAAUGCAGCAAAGUUUGUCUCAUGGAGCAUCUAGUCCAAAAUUGUCCAAAAUGCUAGAAGUAUUGCUGGAGCAUUUCAAAACCCAUGAUCCACAAAGCUCCAGGGUAAUUAUCUUCUCCAAUUACAGAGAAAGUGUCAAGGAUAUAAUGAAUGCACUUGAAGAUAUUGGGGAAUUAGUUAGAGAUACUGAGUUUAUUGGUCAAACAUUCA